CUUUAAAUAACCAAGUUUUUGAAGUUAUGUGAUUGACACCUUGUAAUGGGUCAUUGACAACUCUUAACUGCAGCAAGAUGGCAGAUUAUCAGCAUAAGAGAAGCAGGGAUGUCGCUGUAACAACUGCACGUAUUGUUGGUCAUCAUCAUUCCACUAUAAGUCGUUUUGAGAAUAAAAAUCAGGCAAUAAACGCUGUUAAAGACCUUCCGAGAUAAUGAAGACCCCCUAUACCAUUUGCUAGAGAAAAUCAAGCAUAAUGAAGGUUGGUCAGAAGGAAACCCAUUGCAUACAAGACAAUCCUAAAAAGAGAGUGGUGGCCAUACAGGAGCCUUUUAACAAGAACUGUUCGAGAUCAACUCAUCGCUAC
rnacentral:lncRNA from 1 species